UUUUAUUUAUUUUUCAGUUGUUUUUUUGCGCGUUCCUGCCACGGCCACGGCCAAUGCCACCCCCUUGUUUCGGAUGAGAGAUGGAAAAACAUUGGUGAUUUUCAGCCGGGACAGGCUCCGUGGUUCAUCCUGCCAGUCGGCCUUGUGCAGUUACCCGCCAGCAGCCGAUGUCGCCAGUUGCCAGUUGCCAGUGCCAGUUGCCACGAAUAAAUCUUAGUCAUCAGCAGACUGGCCAAGAUCAGCAGCCGUAACACACACAUAACUCGGUCUAAAAGCCAGAAUCCAGUUGUUGCUGUUGCAUUUGCUGCCUGGUGACACUUGCAGACUUUUUGCAGCGGAACCACGACGACGAGACGGCCAGCAAAGUUGCAGAGAGCUGAAUUGAUUUAUGGCGCAAAUUUUAUUGUCUGGCCGGGAACUGGAACUGGAACUGGCCUGGAACUCUCCUGACCAACCGACCAGCCAGCCAGUUGCUAGUCGGUGGCCUCAACUUGUUAGCCACUAACUGUAAAGCCUCGAAAGUGCCCAAGUGUUGGUGAAUCGUGCGCGUGUCAUGUGACAUUGACUUUUAGUCGGGUGAAGUUUUCCUCCAUACCCCAUCCAUACCUACCUACAUAUAUACCCAGCCCACAUCACAUCACAUCCAUAUCCAACUAUACGUAUAGUACGUCCACGCCAACCGUGUACAACUUUGUGUAUAAAUUAUAUUAUAAAACUGAAACAUAAAUUGCAACUUAACAAACUGUAACAACUUUCGCUUUGGACCGCAAAAAGAGAACAGAACCACGAUGUGGACAAAGUUUGCCGUGCAUUUGUUGGGUCAACACAACAAAGGGAAAAUCACAACGACUUCGGGGGACCCCCAAAAAGGCAGACGUCAGUCGUAACCGUACUCUUUGCUAGUGCGCCCAAACCCCGGAGAGCCAAAGAACCGAAGACCCCGAAGAAUUGGAAGAGGAACUCGGUGGAACCACAAAGGCAACAUGUUGCACAUGCACUCGCCAAAAGCAAUUUGCAUACAAAUGUUGCCAACGCACUUCAAAAACUGCACAAUCACAGGGGUUUUUUUGGCGGGGGGUUGGUGCAGCGGAAAAGGGUAAAAGCCGCUUCAUAAUUUGAUAUUAAACAUGCACGCGUGUCUCCUUCUCUUUUUCUCCCAUGUGUGCAACUUGUAAAUUUGCAAAUUGCUAAAACGCAUGACAGGAACAAAGGGCGAGGAUCUUAAUGGCGGGGAAACUGGGGGCCGACUAUCGGGCAGCUGUGUGAAUUUGCAUUUACAUCAAGGAACCGCAGGACAGGAAAAGAACUGCAAAAACUUAGCCAAAAUUCAGUCUCACAAGAAAACUGAAUAAAAAAGUGCAGUCAAUUGACUUUCAAUUGCAAAAUAAACAAAAUGCAUUGGGAAAAAUAGUAGAGCUCAAGGCGAAAAGAAAUUUUCAAUUUGGUUCCUCGAUGCGGAUUAUUUAGAGUUGUUUGUUUUAUAGAACAAACUGUUUAUAUUUAAUAGACUGCUAUAUUUUAGCCCGUUUCUUUCAGUGUCUCUUUGAAUAAAAAAGGCAAGCCCAAAUGAAUUUAUUUUCAAUUUUAUUUUCAAUCUGCUUUGUGUCCGUCAUAUGAUUGACAUGGUCGAUUGAACUGGCAAACGAGUGAGGGAGUGGAACGAUACACAUAUCGUUUAUUUUUGGCAGCAAGUGUUUGCGUUCGAUUUGCAGUUUUGUUAAUACUGCACUCGAAAAUACCCGAGACACCUCCUCAAACUCAACCAAAAAUGCGAGGGCUCUUGAAACCAAAAUCUCCGGAGUCUUAAUAAGCUGGUUGCAAAAAAAGAAGUACACACUUUUUAUAUCAGAUCUGUACACGCAAUUGAAUGUACCAUACUCUUAUUUUGGGCUGCACAUAUAAAUCAUAUUUAUGAGACAUUUCCCCAGCAGGGAAAAUACGAAAUGAAAUGAAAAAAAGAAAAACAUAUGAAUGUUAAAUAGGCACGCAACGUGCGAAAGGGAUGGCCACAAAAUGCGUCACUCCCCCCAAAUCGCCUGACGUUUCCUUAACGAAGGAAAACAAUAAUCAAUAAGUAAUACAACUGGGAAACUCACCCCGCCGACUUAGUCGUAUUUCCUCCCUCUCGCUCAUAUGUGUUACAAUUUUUGUUGCCCUCAGCCUGGGUAGUUCAUAACUUUUCUCUCAUGUGUGUGUGUGUGUGUUUGUGUCUGUGGUGGUUUUCCUUGGUUCUUGGCCAGGACUUCAGGCGUUUGACAGCCAUGUUUGUCCUUCACACACACACACACACACACCCACACAUGAUUGUAGGCGUCUCCGUGUGGCGGCACCCCCAAAAAAAGCAGUAAAAAAGGAAAAAGUGUGGCGGAAAAGUGUGCCACAAACUUUUCGCCCGAAAAAAGUUUGUCUGCUGACACAGAUCUGUGUGUAAAUGAGCGAGAUAACAAACAUUCGCAAAUUUUCCAGACAAUACCUCUUUUUUGCACUCUAAUCGUACACAUAAAAAAAAUUUAAUUGCUUCCGCUAAAUAAUCUUUUUUAUAGAUUAUAAUUAAAGCUUUUGUAUUCUAUUAUCAGAUUAAUAUUUAUAUAUAAACGUUAACUAAAAAUGCACUGCGUUUUUAAAAUGCAAUAAAUCAAUUUCAAAAUUUUCCUCUGAGUGUAAUCAACCUUUUUUUUUUUGGCUUGUUAAAGAGUUGCCGAAAAACAAAUUGGAAAAAUUUGGUUAGACUUUGGGUUCGUUUCAGUUUUGGGCCCAGCUGAUUUAUUGUCAUAAAUUUCAUUGAAAUUCAUGAGGCUCUUGGAAGAACCUCAAAAAUGUAAAAAACGGGGCGUGGCCUAAAUGAUGUCCGUAUGCGUGUGUGUGUGUGUGUGUUGCUGCGCCUACGCAACGGCCCAAAAGAUUUAUUUCAAUGGAACGAAGAAAUUAUAAUAUUUUCUAACUUCUAUCAUUGAAAAAGAAAUAUAAAAGAAAUACAUACAAUUCUGUGGGGCGAUUAUGAAAAGAGCUGUUGAUGUAUGAAUUGUAUGGGCCUCUCAUAAAUCUAGGGGCCCUGUCAAGGUGUCCAAUACGUUUUUCUGGCCUGUCCGUGUGUUUGUGCCUCAAGUGGCAGUCAUAAAUUUGAGAUUUAUGUUCAUCUCUCUUUUCGAUUUUGUUGUUUUUUUUGGUUCCUAUAUUUUUUUUUUUUUUUUUGUCCAUUUACCAUUUUUUUCGGUUUUGGUCAAGAGAACCUGCCACAAAGCACAGUUCUUUACUCGCUUGUUAAUUAAAUGCGAUUGCAUCAUCGCAUCUUUCAGCUGUCCAUCUACUGUGCACAAUGGGGUUUAAGCAAAUAAGUACACCUAUGUGAUAUAUAUGGAUUAUUUCGAAUUUAUAUAUUACACUUGUUUUUAUAGUUUACUCUUGUUUGUAAUUAUGUUAAAAACGGAUUUUGUUAGGUUUUUUCUCUGCAAUUAAUAUUACUAAUUUGUUGACCCUUGCUGUAGAUAUCUCUAUUCCAUUUUAUCAAGCUAUGACUGGACAGAAAUUGUCGCUAAUCGCUGCUCAUGUACCCCAAGACAUGCCGCAUUUGUCUUUGUCUUUAAUUUUUCGGCUUUGCCUGCUCUGACACAUUUUUCUUAUGAAUUUUCAGUAUUUUCCCCCGACUCACUAAUUUUUCGUGGCGUGUUUGUUCUGACCGCCAAAAUUGCUUGUCCAACAUUUGUUGAACAUGUUUUUGUACUUUGUUUCGGUUAUUUUUUUAACAUUUUUUUGGGGGGAACCAACAACGAACUACACGCAAGUGCUGAAGAUUUUUAGGCAGAUCCGUUAAACAUCAAAAUCAACUUUUUCAAGCUCAUUAAACAACCAGGGAAAAAAAAAGUGAAAUAAAGCCAAACGUUGACCUUCAAAAACGCAACGCAACCAAGCGAAAAUGGCAACAAAAAAAAAAAAAGAUUAAAUACAUAAUACGAAAAAUAACAAAAGUCAGAGCCGCUUGGAAACAGGUUGUUGUUUCGCUCUCUCUAUUGUUAACAUUUUAUUAUGCUUUUUUCAAGCGGAAAGCAACAAAAGGCCCCAAAACUUUUGCACUUUUACGAUUAUUUACGAUCGAAAUACAUUUCUCUGCCGAUUUUUGACCUUGCAGUUGUUGCACUUAACACGUGCCAGAAAUUGAUAAUGAAAGAACGCGUUUUCAGGUGUUAAUCACACUUCGGGCUAUAAAAAAAACAUGCGAAAAAAGCAUAAAAAAAGACCGCUAAAAAAGUAAGGCCCGCAAAAGGCGCCAAAAAUAUUUCGACGACGAACGACACAGACUAAAUUUACAAUCAGAAGUGUCGAUAUUCGUAAAACUACUUGUCAAAUACUCUUUUGGUAAAAUCUUGAGAUUUGGUCAAACUUUUAAAACUUUUUAUCGGAUAUUUUAGAAGACGUGCAAAAAUCUUUCCAUAUGGUACAUUAUGUACAUAUAUAUAUAUAUAUAUAUAUAUAUAGGUAUUUAUUGAGAACUUAACCUUAUACCUAUGUACAUACAUAUAAUCGCAAAUUCACCAAAGUAUCUUCACCAUACCCUAUAAUACUCUACAUGUGAAAUAUUCUAAUCAUAAAUGGAAGUUUGCCGCGAUGACGAAGAGUUUGCCUAUUGUAGAUUUUUAUUUGCCCAUGGUGUUUUUUUGCUUUUUUGUGGGCACUUCAAAAGUCGUGUGCGCUUUGUUGUUGUGUUUGUGGUGUUUGGUUGUUGUAUAUCGCUUGUUUACUUUUACGGUAAAUGCGAAAAACAACAACACUAAGGACUACAAAAAAGCGCGCGCUCGUCGCGCGUAUCUAGAUAAAUAUCUGUGAAAAUACACUUGAGGCCAAGCUACCGCACAGUGGGCGCCAUACAAAUACGGCACUAUAGAGAAGUUUUAGUAGAAUUAAAAACGUUUCAUUAAAGGAAAGAAAAUUACACAUAUUGUACUGAUAAUUUGCUGAUACUCAAAGAAUAAUAGCAUUCAAUUGUUUGCUGUUAGUUAAGUUAGUUACUUAAAACUGUUAAAAAAGUUCAAUAAUUGAUCUAAAUCGUAUUUAUUACUUUAAGAUACUUUUAUGAAACAAAUUUUCUUUUUUAUAUAACUCCCAAUAUCGUGCCCUCACCUGUUCCUGUUUUUGUUGCUGCCUUUUCCAGCGGAGGCAACGACCAACAAUAACAACAAGCAACAGCAACAAUAACAACCAGCGCAGAAGACGGAGCGCAAACAAUCGUAAACAGAUCAUCGAACUUCGCUGUUGUGUUGUUGCUCCUGUUGUUGUUGCUGUUUGUUGGCCUUGAGGUGCCUCAAAAAUUAUAGAUUUUUUCCGGUGCAAGCCUUUUUUUUGUGGCUUAAAACCAUUUAAUUGUUUCAUUAAUUAAAAGUCGUUUUUUUAUAUAUAUAUUUUUUAAUUUUACUGCCGUUUUGGUGAUAUUAAUAGAGUUGACAAAGCGCUCGGCGCCCACGCAGCAAGCAGCGACGUUGACGUCGGCAGAGCUGCUUUCACCGCUGCUUGCGUCAUGUUGGGCGACAAAGCUGCAACGGCGACAAAGCAGCAACCAAUAUGCAGUCGCUGGCUUUGCAUGUGAGGGUGUGUGCAAUGCAGCCGCUAUAAGUGUGCAAUUCACCACUUGAGAAAACCACCACCGCCGCCGAAGCAAAGAAACCCACCACGGCAGCGACGUCGAACAUCGACGAACAUCGUCGAACCUCGCAUUUCGAGUUAUUUUCUGCGAGACUUCGCUGCGUUUUUUUCAGUUGAGUUCCGGAGCUCGAAAGUCGCGCAUCAAUCGCUCGCAAAUAGCAUCGUGUUUUCGCAUUCGCGUGACUUGACAAAAAUUCGUAAAAACUGAGAAACAAUUUACAAGUGAUGAACAAAAAUAAACUUAAACUUUUAAGUUUAUUAAAACAAUCAUAUAAUACACAGUUUCGGAAGAAUAAAAUAAAUUUAAAUGAAAAUAUGAAAGCAAAUAAAUUUAACAAAGUUAAUGAUAUAAAAAUUGAACAAACUAAAAAACAUAAAACACGCAAAAUAAUUCAAUUCAAAUAUGCUAAUACUACGCAGACGAAAUGAAUAAACAUUAAAUAGCUUAUUUUCGGAUAAAAUUCGUAUAUUAGAACUCAAAAAGAUCAAAGUUUUCAACAAUUUCUAAAGGGAAACUCUUGAAAUAAACUUCCUAUAAAUAUUAUAUUUUCCGUGCCUUACUGGACACAUUGGUUUAUAAAGUAAUUUACUUUUCCUCAAAAAUAUUGUAUAUUCCUUAUUUCGAUAUUUUUCUUACUUCCUAUUUUAAAUUAUGUAGAAAUAUAAACGUAAAUACGGUUCUUAAAAUCAAAGAAAAAAGUAUAGUAUAAUUUCCUUAAAAACUUCCCGUAAAUAAAUUCUUUAAGCUGGAAUAAUAUACAUUUCUGAGACACAAUGAAUAAACUUUGCCAAAACUUUCCAUAGAUAUAAUACCAAUAAAUAAUAAUAGUAAAACCCGCACACACGCGUUCAUUUCCAGAUUAUUAAUAAUGAUUUGAAAAAUAUUUAAAUUCAAUCAAACAAAAAGUCUAUCCAGCAAAAAACGCCAAGCCAAACGCCGAAAAAAAAAACAACACUGAAAAAGCUGCCAAGCGAGAAACGACGGAGGACCAUACCAUAUAUAACCCCUAUAUAUAACCGUCGUCGUCAUCAUCAUCAUCAAGCUAGAAAUUCCCCCAGCACAAAUCCCAUGAAGAGAAUCCCAUCAGUCCAGUAACAACAACAACAACAACCGAGAAAUACUACAGAAUAAAAUCCAAAAAAAAAAAAGAAAAAAAAUCUGAAAAAAGAGUUGGAAUUUUUGUAAGCUGGUAUGUGAGCUGUUGUUUUUCGCCUCUUUUACGGUUUGAGCUCGAGUUUUGUGAAAAA